UGACCUCAAAUCAGGUAGGAUCUAUCCG
rnacentral:rRNA from 1 species